rnacentral:rRNA from 1 species
GUGUCAGCAGCCGCGGUAAUACGGAGGAUCCAAGCGUUAUCCGGAAUCAUUGGGUUUAAAGGGUCCGUAGGCGGUUUUGUAAGUCAGUGGUGAAAGCCCAUCGCUCAACGGUGGAACGGCCAUUGAUACUGCAAGACUUGAAUUACUAGGAAGUAACUAGAAUAUGUAGUGUAGCGGUGAAAUGCUUAGAUAUUACAUGGAAUACCAAUUGCGAAGGCAGGUUACUACUAGUGGAUUGACGCUGAUGGACGAAAGCGUGGGGAGCGAACAGGAUUAGAUACCCUGGUAGUCC